GCUGCUCUUCCUUCGCUCCGUCACUUCCUCCACCGCGUUCUGUUUCUUUUUUUUCAAUUUGUUAUCUUUUAAGAAGUCUCGUCGUUUAUGUGUAGUUAUUUCCUUUGUUCUUUUUCGUUUUCUAUUUCCGAUGGCUACUGCACCAGUAAAGUCACAGCCUUUGCACAACUUCAACUUCCCGUUUCUUAAAUGGGGAACCCACGGAGGUGGAAGUUCUUCCAACACUAACGCCGACCACCUCCGUUCUCCCGAAUCCGACUCCGACCACGACCGUCUACGUCCGACGCGUGUCGGGUCACGCUCUACCCGCGUUCACCGCUUAUCCUUUCUUCCCCCGCCUAGAAUCAUCAACCGACACCCCCGCGAAGAACAACAACAACAACAGAAACAAGAAGAAGAGUCGUUAAAUCCGCAAGGAAACGAGGCUGAAGAAGACGACGAUGAUGAGGAAACGGUGCCGAGACCGUGGAAUUUGAGGCCUCGCAAGUUGGUGGCGGAGACGUCGGUGGCGGAAAAGAUGAGUGAAACGGCGGCGCCGAAGUCGAUGAGAUUAAGAGGCUUGACCGAGAAUGGAGUGGCUACAGAAAAGAAAGAGAAAAGGAAAUUUUGGAUAGCUUUAUCAAAGGAAGAGAUUGAAGAAGACAUAUUUGUGAUAACAGGAUCAAGACCUGCCAGAAGGCCCAAGAAAAGGCCUAAGAACAUUCAGAAGCAGCUUGAUAAUGUUUUUCCUGGGCUAUGGUUGGUUGGUACCACGGCUGAUGCUUACCGAAUUGCUGAUGCUCCUGUUAAGAAAUAGAUCUGCUCUCAGUCUAAGAUUCUUAAAAGAUUCCCAUAUCCAAAAGGUAGUCUCUAGUUUCUUUAACUUUGUGUUCUUUGAAUUUCUAUUGUUGUUUUAAUUUUCCUAAGCCUGCAGCUAAAAUAGUUUGGUGAUAAUGUUUGCAGGGGAUAGUUAUGGUAAUAGUGAAUAUGGAAAAUCUUGGAGCUUUGUAGGGUAUGGCACAUUGAGACCUCAAUUUUUUUAAGGUGUAAUGAAAAUAUGAUGGUUGAGAAGGAAGACAAUGAGAAGAUAUUUAAGUUUCUUUUAUGUUUCUUAUUUCGAGUCCUGCAAAGGGAAGAGUAGGUUAGAGUUUUAGUGGAUUUUUAAUUGAUGGAUGUCUUUCAAGACAUCAAAUAUGAACAUAAAUAUGGAUGGAAAGAGAUGGUUUCUUUCAAAUG